rnacentral:tRNA from 2 species
UUUCUAUUAGCUUAAUGGUAAAGUGAGAUACUUCUAAUAUCUGGAUUAAGGUUCGAAUCCUUGAUAGGAAU